rnacentral:rRNA from 2 species
UACGGAGGGUGCGAGCGUUGUCCGGAAUCAUUGGGCGUAAAGGGCGCGUAGGUGGCGGGACAAGCGUGCGGUGAAAGCUCGGGGCUCAACCCCGGGUCGGCCGUGCGAACUGUUUUGCUUGAGCACUGUAGAGGCAGGCGGAAUUCCGGGUGUAGCGGUGGAAUGCGUAGAGAUCCGGAAGAACACCGGUGGCGAAGGCGGCCUGCUGGGCAGUAGCUGACACUGAGGCGCGACAGCGUGGGGAGCAAACAGG